rnacentral:rRNA from 1 species
GAUGAACGCUGGCGGCGUGCUUAACACAUGCAAGUCGAACGGAGUGCCUUUGAAAGAGGAUUCGUCCAAUUGAUAAGGUUACUUAGUGGCGGACGGGUGAGUAACGCGUGAGGAACCUGCCUUGGAGUGGGGAAUAACACAGUGAAAAUUGUGCUAAUACCGCAUAAUGCAGUUGGGUCGCAUGACUCUGACUGCCAAAGAUUUAUCGCUGAAAGAUGAGCUCGCGUCUGAUUAGCUAGUUGGCGGGGGUAACGGCCCACCAAGGCGACGAUCAGUAGCCGGACUGGGAGGUUGAACGGCCACAUUGGGACUGAGACACGGCCCGGACUCCUACGGGAGGCAGCAGUGGGGAAUAUUGCGCAAUGGGGGCAACCCUGACGCAGCAACGCCGCGUGAUUGAUGAAGGUCUUC